ACACAAAGUGAACAGAACAAAUAUUUGUUCCAUAUAUGGGCUGAUAUGUGUUUCCUCAGGAUAUUCCUCAGGCUACUUCAUGACCACUAGACUGCUUUGAAAAACCUUUUAAAAUAUUACACAAUUCAGAGGGUUACCACUAAGCUAAAGUUACUAGGUCACAGAAACAUUCUAUUAUUAGUCAGCCUCGCAACCUUAUGCUAUGUACCUUUAAAAUAUUACUUUAACCACCCUGUCCUUUUCCUUCUGCAAACCUUGACAAGCCAGAGAUCAGCCUUCUGGAAGAGCUCCAGACCCAGAAGGCAGAACAAGGCUUUAGUGUUGAAGAGCAGCUGAGAGAACAGGACAGGAGCUGAGAACAGUUUCAAGGACACUUGUCAACUCUCCUGUGACUGGUCAGCACACUCACAAGACACAGAGAGGCACUGUCAUUGGCUGGUUACGCCUGUAAAAGGCCAGUCUUUCCCUCAAGGAAACAGAGAAGCCACUGGAGACAGAAGAAGGCAGCAAUGAAGAGUAAAGAGCAGUGAGGACAAGGCUGAGAAGAGACCGGGUUAGAAGUGGCCAGGAAGAAAGUGCGCCACAGAGAGCAGGACAUGCGGAGGAAAUGGCACAGAAGAUUCAGCAGCCUCCCCGUCAAUCCAGCUCUUGAAGGUACUAGAUACUCCUGCAUGGGUGGGGAGAAGAAGGACACCCCAAGAGCUUCCUGCAGCAUUUCAGAACCUCCUCAGGAAGCACUUCUCCAAGUGUGGCCUUCUCAAAUCACUGAGACUACUUCCCUUGGGUUCUCAGACUUCACUUCGAAAUCACUGCAUUAAUCCAUUGGUUUACAGAACAAGUGCAGGCACUGAGGAGGCCUUGGCAUUGCUGACAAAGAGUUAACAACAAAGAGCACAACAGAGAGCAGACAGAUGGGCAAGUCCACAUGGAAGGUGCUCAGAAAUGCUACUGAUCUCUAUUCCAUCAAAUUUCAGGGUGAGAGGGAGGAUGCAUUCCUCCGAGGCAAGAGCAUCUUUCCCCUACAAGAAGAACAUUGAAAGUCAACAUUUUACUUCCCUUUGUCUGGCAGGAAGAUGUAUGUGCUGGUGACUAUGAAAGUGUUUAUGACCCAAACAAUAAGCCAAAAUUAAUGAUCAACAAAAACUUAGCAGAAAGGAUAAAAAAGAAAAAAAGAAAGAGAGAGAAAAUAGGAAAGAGAAAAGGCUAAAAACUCCAAUGUGAAGAUGCAACUAAUACCUCACUAGAAGUCUUUUUCUGCCUAAUGCGGAGAAAUAGAACAGUAGUCUCAACUAGAAACCUUUCUAUAAUUCACUACUCCUGCCCAGAAUAAAAGAGUGCUUUUUAUGAGCACUGACCCCUUCUUACCCAAAGGUGGCAUCAACCUGAAGAUAAUGAGCUCCAACAACAAAGGUUAGUCUGCUCCAAAGCUACAGGCUCACAAAAUGAUUUGAAACCUGAGAACGGUUCAUGACGGGACUAGAUGCUUUAAGAAAAUGACAAUAACUGAAUAGACUGAAGCAAAAUUCAUCACUAGUAAGUACUCUACCCACCUUCUCCAAGGCAACAUGAAUAUCGAAGAUGGAUCACCAUCACCUACCACCCAGUCCACAAGUGCACAGGAAAGAUAAAGAAUGGAUAUACUGCAUGUUGGCACAUAAAGAGCCUCAAAGAUAAAUCAGCUGGCGGGGGGUGGGGGCUGGGCAGGUAAGGGCAUGGAACUUAUUCAAGAAAAACUUCUACAGAAGAAAAGUUAAAGGAAGUGAAGAAUCUUCCAGGAGAAAAUCUAGAUGAAUUCAUUAUAUUCUUGAAGAGACUUAGAAAAUCUUAAAUAGGUCUUCUAGCAAUCAGUCAAAAACAGUUAAGAACAAAACUAGAGGAAAAGCAUAGAGAACUCAGGGAGGAAAUUUAAGUUGAAAUCCCUACAGAACUCUUAAAUAUGAGCAACAGAAUCAACAUGGCAGGCAAAGCAUGGACGAGAAAAACCACACCGAAUUCAAAAUAAUUCAAGCCAAUCAGACACAUUAUGAUAGAGCCAAUAGUGAUCUAGGAAACAGGUAACUGGUAGACUACCACCACCCUUCCAAAAGGAGAGCCUAUGUGAGAAUGAAAAAAAAAAAAAAGAAUUCAGAGCUUUCAGGUUGGUAAACUGUGGAGAUUUAGGGAGAGGGCAUGGAAGAAGCUCCCUGCCCCUUCCCUAUUUCCUGCCCUACGCAUCUCUUCCACCUGGCUGUUUAUGAGUUAUAUCCUUUUAUAAUAAACUGUUAACCUGGUAAGGGCAAAACAAGCAAACAAAAAACAAUCAAGCAUUAAACUAAAAAAAAACUGCUGAGGGGGCAUGUAAUAAACUCGAAGACUGAAGAAGGACAAACUUAAACACAAGCAGGAAACUAAAGACUUUAACAAAACUGUUAAGCCGUAUUAUUAAAGGCUGAUCCAAAAGGAGCAUGGAAAGUUGCCUGAAAUGAAUUGUUCCAAGAUCCUCCUUGCACUCAAAAGAGAAAACAUUACCUAGCAAUUGAUAUUUUUCAAACCUGGGGCGCCUGGGUGGCUCAGUCGGUUAAGCAGCCGACUUCGGCUCAGGUCAUGAUCUCACGGUCCGUGAGUUCAAGCCCCGCUUCAGGCUCUGUGCUGACAGCUCAGAGCCUGGAGCCUGUUUCGGAUUCUGUGUCUCCCUCUCUCUGACCCUCCCCUGUUCAUGCUCUGUCUCUCCCUGUCUCAAAAAUAAAUAAAACGUUAAAAAAAAAAAAAAAAA